rnacentral:rRNA from 1 species
UACGUAGGGGGCAAGCGUUGUCCGGAUUUAUUGGGCGUAAAGAGCGUGUAGGCGGCCGUACAGGUCAGCUGUGAAAACUCGAGGCUCAACCUCGAGACGUCGGUUGAAACCGUACGGCUAGAGUCCGGAAGAGGAGAGUGGAAUUCCCGGUGUAGCGGUGAAAUGCGCAGAUAUCGGGAAGAACACCCGUGGCGAAGGCGGCUCACUGGACAGUAACUGACGCUGAUGCACGAAAGCUAGGGGAGCAAACAGG